CCUACGGGGUGCAGCCGUGGGGAAUAUUGGGCAAUGGGCGAAAGCCUGACCCAGCAACGCCGCGUGAAGGAAGAAGGCUUUCGGGUUGUAAACUUCUUUUGACAGGGAAGAGCAGCAGACGGUACCUGUCGAAUCAGCCACGGCUAACUACGUGCCAGCAGCCGCGGUAAUACGUAGGUGGCUAGCGUUCUCCGGAUUUACUGGGUGUAAAGGGCGUGUAGCCGGGCUGACAAGUCAGAUGUGAAAUCCGGGGGCUCAACCCACGAACUGCAUUUGAAACUGUUGUUCUUGAGUAUCGGCGAUGGAGGCGGAAUGCGUGGUGGAGCGGUGAACUGCGUAGAUAUCA
rnacentral:rRNA from 1 species